AUAAUUUAAUUUAAUGCAGUUGACUGAUUUAUUUAUUUGCUUAAUUUGAAAUUACAUGUUUCAUUCUGUGUUGACUUGCCAUUUCAAAGAUUAAAUUUAAACAAUACUACACUUCAUUAAAAUAUCUGUAAUAUGUUUAUUGCAAUAUUAUUCCAUCAUUGCCACUCAUGGCCCAGCUCUGGAUGAAAGGGUACAUUGCCGACAGGAGGCCAGCUUGAGGCCACAUUUGGGCCAAGAUCGCUUGCUAUGUGGGAAGGACCACACUGUUCAUGAUGGAACAUCACUCUUAGGUCAACCUAUACAUCGUCUUUACUUUUGAAUAACUAAAAUACAGAUUGUCACUUUCUGUGGUGAGAAGUUCAACAUUUUCAGUUUACUUGUCUCAUAUCACAAAUGCUAUAAAGUCCUACUGCAGUCAGUAUAUAUGCUAUUAAAUAAAAGUAUAUAGACAAAUUUUGUAACUUGCAUGCAAUUAUGGCAGUAUUUUUUUCCAUAGUUGCAACGCUAUUUGCUGUUGCUCAGUGUUGCUUUGAGCUGAUUGGUUAAGCUGACUGUCACUCAGGAAUCUGGCCAAUGACUAGCGAGCGCGCCGUUUUCCCGCUCAAAUUUGAAUGUACAGUGUCAGUGUGCCGCUGCUGCUCAGCUUCUGCAGUCUGCUGCGGUCGCUACUCUAGUAAUGGCUUUUAUAUGUAUUAUCUGAGUGUUAAAUUCAUAUUUUGAGCGAGUUUGUGUUGUGGGAUGACGAUUGAGAACGAAUAAACGCGAAUAUGGACACUUCUACCAGCAGCUAACAGACAAGCAAACUGCAAAAGAGAGGACCUCAAGCAUAAUCCUUGGACAUUUGGAGAAGAACACUGUAUGCAAAACAGGAUUUUGGAUCAGCUGUGAAGAUUUUGUAUGGAGCUGAAGUUUUGGAAAUGAAAAUCUUCUACCAUAUGAUCUUCAGAGGAACUAAUCCAGCUGAUUACUGGCAAUUUGGAGGAGGACUGCUCUUUAUCUGCUGUGUCUGUCACUUCUGGCCAUGGACCUUUUCUUGUAUGUUUUGGUUUUACUUAUUACACUAAUAUAGCUAUUAGUUUUUAACUAUAUGUAGAAUUAAAAUACAUGUGUUUUUCUACAUAUAUUACCAGAGCUACUGUGGUGCCCAAAAUUAUUAGAACACUAUUUAUUUUAUACCAGUUAAAAAAUGGUUUUAAGUCAGUUAUUUCUAUCUUUUGCUGUAGUGUGUCAGUAGGAAAUAGUAGUUUUAGGCACUUGUGUAAAAAUUCUGUUAAAUGAGGAUGUUGUCAAAAAUAAUGCCAUAAAUACAUUUUCUUUAUCAAUUAACUUUUAUAACUAAAUUAAAUCAACAUUUAGUGUGACCAUGUUACGUGCCGCGUGUGUUUUUGUUUCUUUUCUCUUAUUUCUAUCAAUCUGUUCUCUAGUCUGUCAUCAUUGUUCUUAGGUCUCUGCUGGUUGGAGGA